rnacentral:rRNA from 1 species
AUUGAACGCUGGCGGCAUGCUUUACACAUGCAAGUCGAUCGAGUGGAGAACGGGUGAGUAAUGUAUCGGAACGUGCCGAGUAAUGGGGGAUAACUGAUCGAAACGAUAGCUAAUACCGCAUAGUAUUCCAUCGGCCGAUGUCGGAUUAGCUGGUAGGUGGGGUAAAGGCCCACCAAGGCGACGAUCAGGAGCGGGUCUGAGAGGAUGAUCAGCCACACGGGGACUGAGACACGGCCCAGACGCCGACGGGAGGCAGCAGUGGGGAAUUUGGGACAAGGGGCGCAAGCCUGAUCCAGCCAUGCCGCGUGUCUGAAGAAGGCCUUCGGGUUGUAAAGGACUUUUGGCAGGGAAGCGGUACCUGAAGAAUAAGCACCGGCUAACUACGUGCCAGCAGCCGCGGUAAUUC